GGGGGUAAGAUGGCUGCCGCCGAGGCCGCGCCGUGCGUUGUGGAGGCAGAUUCCUAACGUAAGGAAAAGAACUCAAGAAUUUGAAGUCCUAUGCGUUCUGGGGAUGGUUGGUGUGUAAUGAAGUUCAGCAGGAUGUCCCUCUAGGUCAACAGGGCUAUGAUCUUGGUGAUGGAAGAGGAACGUUCUGAGGACAACAGGUCCAGGAUGGUGCUGUGACUAUGGGCUGACAUGGAGAUUGAAGCUCUAGAGGUCAGAAGUCCAAAGUGGGUUCUCGCUGUGUGAGCAAGGCUCCAUUCCUCGUGGAGGCUCUAAGGGAGAGUCUGUUUGUGUUUUCCAACUCCUAGAGAUUGACCUCAUUCCUUGGCUUCCGAUCCCUUCUAUCUUCAAGCCAGCCAUGGCCAGUGUGGUCAGAUGAUUACUGGUGAAGAUUUCUGGGAAGACUCUUUGAAAAGAAUAAAGAGGAGGAAGGAAUGGAGCCUCCCAAAGUGGAAACCCAGGGGGUGAGAUCGAAGGCCUGCGCUUCCCCAGGAGGGGCUGGUACUUUCCCCACAGGGCACUUAGAUGUGGGUGGCGAUGGGUGAGGUGAACGGAGAAGCCUGCUUCUCUAUCCGUGUGGGGCUUGAGAUGAGAAGUAUCCUCCAGCAUGCUUGGGUCCCAACUUGAGAUUGCUCAAACUAGGUGGGGGUCUGAGAUGUGAAGGAACAGUGAGGACGCCCCCUCGCUGGCAUCCCGCAUCCUCCUGACCUUUCCUGCACUAUCACUGUGAAGACUUUGGUAUCAGGCUCACACUCUUCCUAUUCCUGGCCUGAUUCCGGGGAGCCCCAGCCCCUCAGAUGGACCCAGGUGCCAGCACUUUCUCCUGCUUCUCCAUACCCCACAGUCACGUUGCUUCUGGGGUUAGCCAAGCUGCUCGUCUGUCCACCUUUAGAGCAACAGUGUUUCUCUGAGUUCCUCCCUUAGCCCUUGGCUCGUCUCUGCACGCUGUCCUUGCAGUUUCGGCCACUUGGCCAGUGUCUGAGCUUAUCACAGCCACUCAGCCUUGUGCUGACUUCCGGAUCUCUAGGGGGCCAGCCUUGACCUCUCUCCUGAAUUUCAUGUGUUCCUGCCUGCAUGUCUUCCAGGCACCAUAAAUCAACAUAGCACGUCCCAAGUGGAUUUCCUCUCUCCUUCCGCUCUGGUCAUCCUGAGGACCCGAUCUUAAUGAACUUUGCCAUCUUCCACAGUCACCCAACCCAGGGACUUUCAUGACCUCUCCGGUCCUCAUCACAACCCACACCUACUGCAUUGCCAUAUCCUGCAGUGUUCUACUUUACAUCUGCCUGAAUCUCUGCUCUCCUGAUUGCUUCCGCCACAGUAGCCUGGUGUAGCCUCUGUCGUCUCUCCUACAAAUAGCUGGUCUCCCUGCCCCAGACCUGCUUCCUCCUAUCCUGAGCAGCCAGAGGGAGCUUUCUAAGGCACAGAGUUGACCACGUGGCUCUCCUCAAGCAGCCUAGGGGUGCCUCAUCUGUAGUGGGGGACAGAGGGGCUUUCCAUGUUUGGACCCCACUCAUCUCUCCACACUGUAUCCCUAGUUUGCAUUCUAGAAUAAAGUUUGUAGGUAUAAAUCUCUGUGUUUUCACACAUGCAGUCCCUUGGCCUAAAUUCCCUUUCCAACUGACUUUCUCUCGCUAACUCCUACUCAGCUUUUAUAGCUGAGCUCAGCUGCUGCCUUCUGCAGGGAACUUUUCUGACUCCUCCAGUGAAGUGAGAUAAGGGUCCCUUCUGGGCUUUUGUGGCCUCUGGGCUCCUGUGGCAACCUCAGUCCUGGCAUUUUAUGGCAUUAUUUUGACAUUAUUUAUUUAAAAAUGUUUACAUGUUGCUGACUCUAAGUGCUUUACAAAUAUUGAAUCCUAACAAUAAUCCUUUGAGCUAAGUACUAAUAACUGUCUCCAACUCGAGGUGACAAAACUGAGCACCGGGCGAUCAAGUAACCUGUCCAACAUCAUGCGGCUCAGAAGGGUGGAGCCAAGAUUGGAACGAAGGCUGUGUGCCUGCCACUGGGGUCCGUGUGCCUCUCGCAUUGGUGGCCGACCUCCCUUCUCCCCUCCCCCACCUUUGCCGCUGGAUCGCCAGCUCCUCAGGGACCUUACUUAACAUCUCCAGCACUUGGCCUGAAAGCUCAGCGUGCACACAUUGACCAAUUAAUCCACACCACAGGUAGGUCAGAGACAGUAGUUUUCUUUAGCAAACAAAUGGGUUUGUUCUGAAUGUAUCAGCUAGUCACCCUAGUCUGCGUGGAGCACAAAGCAAGGCCCGACCCCCUCACUGUCUUCUGGGCACUUGGCCUGAGUCAGAAGGCAGCUGUUUCUGCUUUCACUGCAGCCCGGCUAUGAAUCUGUAGGGGGUGGCAUAGAUGGAGAAGGUUAUGGGUCCCUGUGACAUGAGUAAGGUGGGUGGGCUUGAACUGGGGUUGGUUGUUGGUUUUUGUUUUUGUUUUUUUUUAAUCUUAUUUAUUUAUUUGACAGAGCAUAUAAGCAUGAGGAACAGCAAAGGGAGAGGGAGAAGCAGACUGCCUAUUGAGCAGGGAGCCUGACACGGGGCUCUAUCCCAGGACGUGGGAUCAUGACCUGAGCCGAAGGCAGACGCUUAACCGACUAAGCCACCAGAUGUCUCUGAACUGGGGUCUGCAGGUGUGGAGAGCUGCACACUGCAGGCCAGGGUGUGGUUGUGUGACCGUAGUCCAGGGUGCAGCGUGCUGGUGCAUCUCAGGGCGAGUGUGAUGAGGUCCUGAGCCUGUGGAAUGGGGCUCAAGGUAGCCGGUGCUGGGGGUUCCUGUCACUGGGGGUCGGGCCGGGGACCAGGGCCCUGGCCUCUGCCUUCCGCCUGCCCUUCCACGGCCCAGGGCCUUCCCCAUCAGCACCUGCCACAGCCCGCUUGCUGCAUUUGGGUCCUUGGUGUGUGUUCAGAGAACUCGGUCUCCUGGGCCGCCUGGCAGACUCCGUUAGUAGAGCCUGCAACUCUCGAUCUCGGCGUUGGGAGUUCAAGCCCCAUGUUGGGUGUAGAGGUCACUUAAAUAAAAAUAAAACUUAAAAAAAAAAAAGCUCGCUCUCCUACCUGGGGAGUCAGAGUGCUCUCCAAACUAAUGAUUUCUGCGCCCAGGGAGAGCCCGCUGCCAAAAAGGCCCAGUCAAAUCCUCAGGUGUACAUGGACAUCAAGAUCAGGAACAAGGGGAUCCCUGGGUGGCACAGUGGUUUAGCGCCUGCCUUUGGCCCAGCGCGAGAUCCUGGAGACCCGGGAUCGAAUCCCACGUCGGGCUCCCGGUGCAUGGAGCCUGCUUCUCCCUCUGGCUAUGUCUCUGCCUCUCUCUCUCUCUCUGUGACUAUCAUAAAUAAAUAAAAAAUUAAAAAAAAAAAUUAAAAAAAAAAAAAA
rnacentral:lncRNA from 1 species